ensembl:lncRNA
CCAAGGAUGAGGACUUGUUGGAAUCGGUCGCUGUGUCUUGAUAACGCAGUGCCAGCCUUCGGAGGACGAUGUCAUUGGACUGCUGCCUCCACUGGCCCUGGAAGCUCUUGCCUCCAUCCAUCCAUCCACCCAUCCAUCCAUCCAUCCAUCCAUCCAUCCAUCCACAUGGUCAUCCAUUCAGAACUUUAAAACAAACCAUCAGUCAUAGUUUUUCUUGACAGAAUUCACCUUUUUAGUUAAAAAUGACAGUUCUGUGAAUUUCUUUCAUUUUCAACAUCAGUUUUAAAUUCAGGAAAUGAAUCAGAAUGUAUAAGUCACUCUCAGUUCAGUCCUGAAUGGUGCACAAUGAAACUCAAUGCUGCUGCUGGCAUGUUCCUGACGGAGGUGUAGGAUGUGAAACACAGGAGUAACAUGCAGCUGUCAGCCAUCUAAACCGUACUUCAGAGCUGAAUCCAAUCACCCUUCACAAAUCAAAUAAUUAGUGGCCCUCCAUCUACAGUACUGUAUGUUAAAAGGCUAAUUGCUUGACUGCGGCAGUUUCUACUUUGUGUGGGACAUGAUCAAUUGUGACAGAGGAGCACCGCUGGCUAGAGAACAACAUCUCCUCUCCUCUGCUCAGUUUUUCUUUCUUCUUGAACUGAAUGUUAUGGUUACAGUGUGUGAUACCACUGACAAAAGGGAAAAGAACAAACAGAAGAUGUGGGAGAUCUUUGCGCCUCCCCUGCAGCCAAUCAGAGAGCGUCUGAGUAAAUACACCUGUGUGUUCCUCACUGUGCCAAACUUGUGCCCACUACACAGCCCACUCUCCUCUCUAUGUCUCAGUGUGUGUGGGCCGCCGCAGUCAUCGGCAGCGCUCUGUACACGUAACGGCUCUCUCGGCCCACGGCGCAUUACUGUGUCAAUUUAUUAUUCGCUAUGAUUAAGAAGAUUAUGGCUGGAUGACUGAAAUUAAUCUAAAAGUUUAUAAACUGUUUUCUUUUUGCUGAAUGCAUAUGUCUUGUAUAUGUUAGCUACUUCAUCCCACAUCGUGGAAGUGUUUGGUGAUUCAUCACAGUGAUCUUCAAACCCCAGAUCAUAACACAACUUUAUUCCAAACGCACAUCUGCAUCAAAAUGUCAAGGUCAGUAAAGGUUUUUCCUGAAUUAAUCUAUCACCACAGUUAGCCUCGCAUGGAGUAGCAGCAUGAAAAAUGAAAGGAAUGCUAAUAUGACUGCAGCUCUCAACAUUAAAAGGGUCAUAUGACGUUGCUAAAAAGAACAUUAUUUUGUGUAUUUGGUGUAGUGUAGUGUUUAUGUCGUUUAAGGUUAAAAAAUACAUUAUUUCUGAAACGUG